rnacentral:piRNA from 1 species
UUAGAAAAACUCUUUUUGAGA